UACGUAGGGUGCAAGCGUUGUCCGGAAUUAUUGGGCGUAAAGAGCUCGUAGGCGGUCUGUCGCGUCGGCUGUGAAAACUCGGGGCUCAACCCCGAGCCUGCAGUCGAUACGGGCAGACUAGAGUGCGGUAGGGGAGACUGGAAUUCCUGGUGUAGCGGUGAAAUGCGCAGAUAUCAGGAGGAACACCAGUGGCGAAGGCGGCUCACUGGCCCGUUACUGACGCUGAGGCACGAAAGCGUGGGGAGCAAACAGG
rnacentral:rRNA from 1 species